rnacentral:rRNA from 1 species
UACAGAGGUCUCAAGCGUUGUUCGGAUUCAUUGGGCGUAAAGGGUGUGUAGGUGGCGCCGUAAGUCGGGUGUGAAAUCUCGGGGCUUAACUCCGAAACUGCAUUCGAUACUGCCGUGCUUGAGGACUGGAGAGGAGACUGGAAUUUACGGUGUAGCGGUGAAAUGCGUAGAUAUCGUAAGGAAGACCAGUGGCGAAGGCGGGUCUCUGGACAGUUCCUGACGCUGAGGCACGAAGGUCAGGGGAGCAAACGGG